GGGGUGGGGUGAGGUGGGGUGGGGUAGGGUGGGGUGAGGUAGGGUGGGGUGAGGUAUCGUAGGGUGGGGUAGGGUGAGCUGAGGUAGGGUGGGUGAGGUAGGGUGAGGUGUGGUGAGGUAGGGUGGGGUGAGGUAGGGUGGGGUGAGGUGGGGUGAGGUGUGGUGAGGUAGGGUGGGGUGAGGUAGGGUGAGGUGAGGUAGGGUGAGGUAGGGUGGGGUGAGGUAGAGCGAGGUGUGGUGAGGUAGGGCGAGGUGUGGUGAGGUAGGGCGGGGUAGGGCGAGGUAGGGUAGGAUGGGGUGAGGUAGGGUGGGGUGAGGUAGGGUGGGGUAAGGUAGGGUAGGGUGAGGCAGGGUGGGGUGAGGUAGGGUAGGGUGAGGUAGGGUGGGG
ensembl:lncRNA